rnacentral:misc_RNA from 1 species
GUCGGAUAAUUUUGUGCUUAGGGUGUUGAAGGAACUUAGAGAAGUAGGAAAUCCACUGAAAGCUUUCAGCUUUUUCAAAUGGGUUGCGAGGAAUUUAGAUUUUCAGCACAGCACUGUUACUUAUAAUGGGAUUCUUAGGGUUCUUUGCCGAGAAGAGUCGAUUGAGGAGUUCUGGGGUGUAGUAAAAGAGAUGAUGAGCCUUGGGUUUGAAAUAG